rnacentral:rRNA from 1 species
UAACGCGUAGGUAACCUGCCUGGUAGCGGGGGAUAACUAUUGGAAACGAUAGCUAAUACCGCAUGACAACAGUUAUUGCAUGAUAACUGUUUAAAAGGGGCAAUUGCUCCACUACCAGAUGGACCUGCGUUGUAUUAGCUAGUUGGUGAGGUAACGGCUCACCAAGGCGACGAUACAUAGCCGACCUGAGAGGGUGAUCGGCCACACUGGGACUGAGACACGGCCCAG